rnacentral:rRNA from 1 species
GAUCACCGAUAGAUACAGAGGGGUUCAAGCAUCAUUCGGAAUUACAGCCGUCUAUGACACGCUUGCAGCUGCCUCCAGUCCAGUAUGUGAAGUAUCAAGCUCGUACCCGUGACUGCCUUUGCAGACAGCUAGACACGAGUAUCUUCAGAGAGGCGUAGCAUAUAGCAGUAGCUGUCGAAAUAGCGCAGAGAUCUCGACGUAGAACCGCGGCGGAUGGCGGUCCCCCUUGACGCAGCACUGAUGUUGCAGCUGUGAGAUACAGUGUGAGUCACACAGGAUUACAUACCCCGGUGGUACUCCGCCGUGAUCUAUAUCCAUUUGGACGGUGUGCCCGGAGUCGUGGCCUCUGGAGCGAGACUCGUGAAAUCCACUUCCAGGGCAUUUCCCCGCAAGGGUUAAAAUCUUAUGCAUUUGCGGGGGCCCCCCCCCCAAGCGUGGGGCUUAUGGGCUAAAAUUUCAGCAAAACGGAAAGCCCUCUCCCUUUCUUUGCAUCCCGAGGGAACUUACUUAGACGGGUUUUGGUUCUUCGGGGAAACUUCAAACCAAGGUGCGCAUUGGGCUUUCCCCCCUUUCUUUUUUGGGAAAAGUUGGGUUAAAGUCCCGAAAGCGAUCGCAACCCUUAUCUUUUGUGGCCAGCGGUUCGGCCGGGAAUUCACAGGAGACUCCCAUGGAUAAACCGGAGGAAGUUGGGGAUGAGUUCAAGUCAUCAUGGCCCUUACGAGUAGGGCUACACACGUGCUACAAUGGCAUAUACAAAGAGAAGCGACCUCGCGAGAGCAAGCGGACCUCAUAAAGUAUGUCGUAGUCCGGAUUGGAGUUUGCAACUCGACUCCAUGAAGUCGGAAUCGCUAGUAAUCGUAGAUCAGAAUGCUACGGUGAAUACGUUCCCGGGCUUUGUACACACCGCUCCGUCACACCAUGGGAGUGGGUGCAAAAGAAGUAUGUUAGCUUAACCUUCGUGAGAGCUGCAGGAGCGAGAAAAAACAAA